UAGGGAAUCUUCGGCAAUGGGGGGAACCCUGACCGAGCAACGCCGCGUGAGUGAAGAAGGUUUUCGGAUCGUAAAGCUCUGUUGUUAAGGAAGAACGAGUGUGAGAAUGGAAAGUUCAUACUGUGACGGUACUUAACCAGAAAGGGACGGCUAACUACGUGCCAGCAGCCGCGGUAAUACGUAGGUCCCGAGCGUUGUCCGGAUUUAUUGGGCGUAAAGCGAGCGCAGGCGGUUAGAUAAGUCUGAAGUUAAAGGCAGUGGCUCAACCAUUGUAGGCUUUGGAAACUGGUUAACUUGAGUGCAGAAGGGGGGAGUGGAAUUCCAUGUGUAGCGGUGAAAUGCGUAGAUAUAUGGAGGAACCCCGGUGGCGAACGCGGCUCUCUGGUCUGUAUCUGACGCUGAGGCUCGAAAGCGUGGGGAGCGAACAGG
rnacentral:rRNA from 1 species